rnacentral:lncRNA from 10 species
AAAAAAAAAAAAAAAAAACCAACAAAAAAAACACUUCAUAGAAGACAACAUUGGGGGAAAUGCUCAUGACCUUGGAUUUUGACAAUGACACCAAAGGCAUGACUAACAAAAGGAAACAGAAAAAUUGGACUUCAUCAAAAUUUAAAAACAGGCAAAGGACAUGAACACAAAUUUCUCCAAAUAAGAUAUACAAAUGGUCAACAAGCAUAUGAAAAGAUGGUUAACAACACUAAUCAUUAUGGAAGUGCCAGUCAAAACCACAAUGAGGUAAACUUCUCACCCACUAGAAUGGUUAUCAUUUAACAACAACAAAAAAGGCGCUGGCAAAGAUGUGGAAAAACUGGAAUUGCUGGUGGGAAUGUAAAAUGGUGCAGCCACUGGCUAUAGAAAAUUGCUUGGUGGUUCCUCAAGAAGUUAAACAUAGAAUUACCCUAUGAGCUAGCAAUUCCACUCCUAGGUAGAUAAUGCAAAAGAACUGAAAACAGGUAUUCAAAUGAUAUUUGUACACAACAGUUUGUAGCAGAACUAUUCAUGACAACUACAGGUGAAACAAAUACAAACGUCCAUCAUCAGACAAAUGGAUAAACAAAAUGUGGUCUAUACAUUCAGUGGACUAUUAGUAAUAAAAAGGAAUGAAUUACUGAUUAUGCUACAACAUGAUGCGUCUUGAAAACACUGUGAGAGAAGACAGACACAAAAGGUUGUAUUUUGUAUGAUUCCAUUUAUAUGAAAUAUGCAGAAUAGGCAAUUCACAAACACAGCUAAUUAGUGGCUGCCAGGGGCUGGGGAAGAGGAGAAGAAGAAGUGGCUGUAUAACAGUUAUGGGGCUGGGGGGCUCCCUUUAGGAGUGAUGAAAAUGCUUUGGAUCUAGAUAGAGGUGGUGGCUGUGAAUGUACUAAAUGCCACUGAAUUAUUAUUCACUUGCAUAUUGUUAUUUCUGUUAUGUAAAUUUCACCUCAGGUUUUAAAAAGUUCUCAAAGCUGUCCUGUUCUCCUCUAAGGAGGCUGUGGUCUUUUCUAGGUGUUGUAAUUUUCCUUCAGCAAAUGGAACUGAAUUGAUCCAGUAAAAAAGUAAAGGGUUCCUCUUUUUUGUGAAAAGGUGAGGGGAGGAAUACAGGUGACCUGUGGAUCCCUGUAUGGAGACAGGGGUGUGGGCAGCAGUGAGGGAAAUGGGCACAGGCCGACUAAGGUUGGGGUGCAGUGUGGAGAAAAGGGUUGCUCCUUAAAAAGUAGGGUGCUCCUGCCGGGCACGGUGGCUCAUGCCUGUAAUCCCAGCACUUUGGGAGGCCAAGCCGGGUGGAUCACGAGGUCAGGAGAUCGAGACCACCCUGACUACCGUGGUGAAACCCGGUCUCUACUAAAGAAUAAAAAAAAAAUUAAUUGGGUAUGGUGGCAGGCACCUGUAGUCCCAGCUACUCGGGAGGCUGAGGCAGGAGAAUGGCGUGAACCCGGGAGGUGGAGCUUGCCGUGAGCCAAGAUCACACCACUAUACUCCAGCCUGGGUGACAGAGCAAGACUCCGUCUCAAAAAAAAAAAAAAAAAAAAGAAAAACAAUAGGGUGCUCCUGGACAGACGUCGUGGCACAAGCCUGUAAUCCAAGCAUGUUGGGAAGCUGAGGUGGGUGGAUGGCCUGAGCUCAGGAGUUCAAGAUCAGCCUGGGCAACAUGGCAAAACCCUGUCCCUACAAAAAAAUAUAAAAAAUUAGCUGGGCGUGAUGAGGUGUGCCUGUAGUCCCAGCUACUCGGGAGGCUAAGGUGGGAAGAUCGCUUGAGCCUGGAGGUUGAGGCUGCAGUGAGCCGAGAUCACACUCCAGCCUGGGUGACAGAGUGAGACUCUGUCUCAAAAAAAACCAAAACCAAAAACAACAACAAAAACAAGUGGGGUGCUCCUGCUUAGAAAGCAACGGUCCUUCACUACUUCCCGUUGCAGAUGGGUAGAGGAAGGCAUGCUAGGCCCUACUUUUGCAGACAGAACAUGGGGUUGGUUGGCAUGCAGAAGGGGGUGGAGAAAGAAGACUCAGGUGCUCGUUGGCGGAAAAAGCUGACAUUUCAGGAUCAGCAGAGUUCUUGACCUUCUGCAAGAGGGCAUCUAUCUACCAGAGGAUGUCCAAAUUAGGAUAAACACAGUAAAGAAGUGAUGACAUGGCCAGGCGCAGUGGCUCACCCACAGGUUCCAGUAUUAUUAAGAGUGUAACCUUGGAAAAAUGAUUAAUUUCCUGAGGUGAGGUUUUCUGAUCUAAAAAGAAAUGAUAUACUUUCCUUGCAGGUUGUUAAGAACUAGAUAUAAUAAAUCCAAAACACUAGCAGCACAGUGUUGGGCAAUAAAUGGCAGCUGACCCUACUCCUCCUCGAGCUUUCUUUCAUUAUAAAGGCACAGCACACUCAAGACAUGAGAGAACCUGGUUUCAGGAGGAGUGCUUAGCUUUUGUUAUUCUGACGUAACAGUCCCAGCCUGAGCAACCUUACCUGCUGUGUGAAAGGAAGAUGGGCCUGUGUUACCAGAAAUAGUAAUAAUCAAAACAAUACGUUAGCUUGGACUUAAGUGUAUUUUAAGGAAGAAAUUACUCAGUUCUCAGAAUUAAAAAUGUAUUAUCUUACUGAAGAUAAAUGAAAGCACUGGUUUUUAAAUAUUUUUGGUCACGGGCCCUCUUGAACAGUCUGAUGAUUUCUAAAAUGUUCUCUCCAGAAAACUAAACCUACACAAAAACUAGGUCAAAAAAUUAGGGAUUUAAAAACCUUGCUCUGUAUUAGAGGAAUUUUUGGAUGUUAGGUAUAUUGUUUUCUCAAUUUUUCUCACUAACCAAUGUAAAUGAGGAUAAUUUUUGGGAUGUCCUAAGUAAUAGUGGGUUCUAUUCUGAAUGGACGUCAGCACAACAGAGUCAUGGAGCAACACGGGCCCAGCAUAGAUGUCACAGUUCUCAAGGGCAAUUCAGAAUGAUACUUUUCUGUGAAAUCUAAGUUUUAACCGUUGACAAUUUGUUAAGAAAGUUAAAAGUUGUGGGGAACAAAUCUGGUCAGUUGGCGUUAGUUUGCUACUUUACAGCCUCCUGGCUUUAAAAUUCAAAGGUAUUAUUGGGAGAACAGUACAAAUUUGAAAAGACCUGUAGAUUAAAUAAGAGUAUUGUUUCAAGGAUAAUUUUUUGAUUGUUAGGGAUAAGUGGGCAUUGUGUUUACAAAUUACUUCCAAAGAAUUCAGAAAAUUGUGUGUCUGGGAGGCAGGGUAGCAAGAUAAAAAGAGGGAGGACAGCUGGGGUUGGUAAAAACAAAUGUAAAAUGACAACAUUUGGAGAAACCUGGUGUAAUGAUUACUUUUGUGUCAAUUUGGCUAGGACACAAUACCAAUAUCCUAUGUACUUAAGCCAGAUACUUAAGUCGAAGGAGUAACAAUUAAUUCAAUUAAACACUAUUCCAGGUGUUCAGCUGAAGGUAUUUUAUACAUGUGGUUA